UGCGUAGGCGGAAUAGUCAGUCAGUGGUGAAAUCCUACAGCUUAACUGUAGAACUGCCAUUGAUACUGCUAUUCUUGAGUUCAGUUGAGGUAGGCGGAAUGUGUAGUGUAGCGGUGAAGUGCUUAGAUAUUACACAGAACACCGAUUGCGAAGGCAGCUUACUAAACUGACACUGACGCUGAGGCACGAAAGCGUGGGGAGCAAACAGGAUUAGAUACCCUGGUAGUCC
rnacentral:rRNA from 1 species